rnacentral:lncRNA from 1 species
CGACUAUCCAUAGUCGACCUUCGUAUGGAUAGAAACUAGUCCUAUAACAUAUGACUUCGCAUUCUUAUUCAAUUUUUAACGUUUUUAUACUGAUAUUUCCAAUUUUUUUUUUGGCACAUUGAUAGUAAAAAGAAAAUAUCAGAACAGCAAAUAGAAAUAGUAAAUAAUGCCCCCGAGGUCAUAUGUUAUAGGACUAGGAUGAAACAAGUGCCUGUGGUUCCAAACACUCUGGAUAAAAGGAAAAAGGGGGGUUCCAACUCAGUCCCCUAAAGAUUUCAUAAUUAUAGCGAAAAAAUGGGGGAAAUAAAAUAUUUUAAGUAGUAUUAUAUAGAAUAAAUAAUGCAUUGAACGUCCAAAAUAAUUUGGUGUUCCCACCCCCGGAACCCCAGGGGUCCGCCACUGUGUAACGCGUAUUCUGCUUUUUUAACUAAC